AUUGAACGCUGGCGGCAUGCCUUACACAUGCAAGUCGAACGGUAACGGGCCUUCGGGUGCCGACGAGUGGCGAACGGGAGAGUAAUACAUCGGAACGUGUCCGAUCGUGGGGGAUAACGAGGCGAAAGCUUUGCUAAUACCGCAUACGAUCUACGGAUGGAAGCAGGGGGCCGCAAGGCCAUGCGGGGCCGGAGCGGCCGUUGGCAGUUGAGGUAGUUGGUGGGAUAAAGGCGUACCAAGCCCAGGAACUGUAGCUGGUCUGAGAGGAUGAACAUCCACACUGGACCUGGAAAACGGCCCAGCCUCCUACGGGAGGCAGCAGUGGGGAAUUUUGGCCAAUGGGCGCAAGCUUGCUCCAGCCAUGCCGCGUGGAGGAUGAAGGCCUUGGGGUUGUAAACUGCUUUUGUACGGAACGAAAAGCGUGCUUUUAAUACAGGCGGGUCAUGACGGUACCGUAAGAAUAAGCACCGGCUAACUACGUG
rnacentral:rRNA from 1 species